rnacentral:rRNA from 1 species
AUUGAACGCUGGCGGCAUGCUUUACACAUGCAAGUCGAACGGUAACAGGCCUUCGGGUGCUGACGAGUGGCGAACGGGUGAGUAAUGCAUCGGAACGUGCCCAGAGGUGGGGGAUAACGCAGCGAAAGCUGUGCUAAUACCGCAUGUGAUCUGAGGAUGAAAGCGGGGGACCAGGCAGCAAUGUUUGGCCUCGCGCCUUUGGAGCGGCCGAUGUCAGAUUAGGUAGUUGGUGGGGUAAAGGCCUACCAAGCCGACGAUCUGUAGCUGGUCUGAGAGGACGGCCCGCCACACUGGGGCUUGAGCACCGGCCCCAACCCCCAGGGGGGGCGGCGGGGGGGAAUUUGGGGAAAGGGGCGAAAGCUUGACCCACAAAGGCCCGGUGGGGAAAGAAGGCCUUCGGGUUUUAACCCGCUUUUUUAGGGAACAAAAAGGCUCUGGCUAAAACCGGGGGCUGAUGCCGGUACCGAAAGAAAAAGCACCGGUUAACUCCGU